rnacentral:rRNA from 1 species
GUCCACGCCGUAAACGUUGGGCGCUAGGUGUGGGAGGUUAUCCACUCCUUCCGUGCCGCAGCUAACGCAUUAAGCGCCCCGCCUGGGGAGUACGGCCGCAAGGCUAAAACUCAAAGGAAUUGACGGGGGCCCGCACAAGCGGCGGAGCAUGUGGCUUAAUUCGACGCAACGCGAAGAACCUUACCAAGGCUUGACAUGCAGGGAAAUCUCGUAGAGAUACGGGGUCCGCAAGGGCUCUGCACAGGUGGUGCAUGGUUGUCGU